AUAUAGCAUCAAAAGUUAAAAAGAUGUAUUUAGCAAUUGACUAGAUUGGCAGAAAGAAAACACUAUGAGGCAUACUUGCCAAAAAGAAAUUUUCAGGAACUAAUCCAAGGUAAGGAGGCUCAGCAAACUAUAAGUCCACAAAUUCAAGAGUACAGGUGCUUGUUAAGAUAGUGAAGGAACAAAUACUGAGAGCUUUCAAAAGUUCCUGCAUGAGUUUUACCAUUUUUAAAGCCUCUUUGAUCCAGCCUAAGUAGUGUGCCA